rnacentral:lncRNA from 1 species
CAAUCCAAACUAUACCAUUGAUUUCACUUUACAUAAAUCCACCCGAAUAAACAACCUUAGGGUUGGGCUUACAUUAGAGAAAAAAGAUACCAUGUUCUUCACUACAUUACAAAAUUACGGACUUAGGAAUUCGACUCACUCCAUAAUUUCCACUAGAAAAUUAUGCACGCUUUCAGAUGUGGAAGAUCAAUUUAUUUCUGUUAUGGAAAAAAAA